AAAAUUCACUUGACGGCAAGUUUCGAUCGAACAAGUCACGGCAACAGCAAGAACUAAAGAGAAAAUAGCGCCUCAGAUUUAUGCUUUGAUCAAUACAGUAAUAAAAUAAGAGAAAGAGCAAGGAGAUGAACCUGAAUGCGAACAACUUUCAAUUUAAUAUGUUUAGGAACGAAUACAGGCAAACCGGCGUCGAAAUUGGAACAUGCAACGGAACAAGAACAGGACAGCAACAAUCGAACCACGAUUAAGACCAUGAACAGACCUCGGACAACUGGUAGAAACUCAAAUCAGCUCCAAACCUCGGCUUAAUCACGCAACCUCAACUAUUUUUAGAAACAGAAAUUGAAUGGAAGAAACUAACAUUUUUUGUGUAUUUUUCUGAUUUUGAUGUAAGAACUGAUUUUUUUGAUCUUUUUUAUAUAGAAUUGCCAAUUUUCUGUCCAAAACCCCUCUCCUUGUUCAUGUGUGAGCGUUGAGGCAGAAGGUGGGAAGUUGAAGGCUGGUGGGCAACGAUUGGUGUGGCUGGAGAUGAUGGAGACAAGGUUGGGGUGAGCAGCUGCGGCUUCUUAGGGGUGUUUUUAGGUUGGGGUGUUCUAAUGGUGAAGAAGAAGAAGUUCGAGGGGGGGGUCCCCUUU
rnacentral:lncRNA from 1 species